CACGUAGGGCGCAAGCGUUGUCCGGAAUUAUUGGGCGUAAAGAGCUCGUAGGCGGCCUGUUGCGUCUGCUGUGAAAACCCGGGGCUUAACCCCUGGCUUGCAGUGGAUACGGACAGACUAGAGGUAGGUAGGGGAGAAUGGAAUUCCCGGUGUAGCGGUGAAAUGCGCAGAUAUCGGGAGGAACACCGGUGGCGAAGGCGGUUCUCUGGGCCUUACCUGACGCUGAGGAGCGAAAGCGUGGGGAGCGAACAGG
rnacentral:rRNA from 1 species